UGAAAGUAUGGUGGCUGUGAAGGUGGGU
rnacentral:piRNA from 1 species